CGGCGGCUACCAUGCAGUCGAGCGAGAUCUUCGGAUCUAGCGGCGGACGGGUGAGUAACGCGUGGGAACGUGCCCUUCUCUACGGAAUAGUCCCGGGAAACUGGGUUUAAUACCGUAUACGCCCUUCGGGGGAAAGAUUUAUCGGAGAAGGAUCGGCCCGCGUUGGAUUAGGUAGUUGGUGGGGUAAUGGCCUACCAAGCCGACGAUCCAUAGCUGGUUUGAGAGGAUGAUCAGCCACACUGGGACUGAGACACGGCCCAGACUCCUACGGGAGGCAGCAGUGGGGAAUCUUAGACAAUGGGCGCAAGCCUGAUCUAGCCAUGCCGCGUGAGUGACGAAGGCCCUAGGGUCGUAAAGCUCUUUCACCAGGGAUGAUAAUGACAGUACCUGGAGAAGAAACCCCGGCUAACUCCGUGCCAGCAGCCGCGGUAAUACGGAGGGGGUUAGCGUUGUUCGGAAUUACUGGGCGUAAAGCGCGCGUAGGCGGGCUGUUAAGUCGGGGGUGAAAUCCCGGGGCUCAACCCCGGAACUGCCCUCGAUACUGGCAGCCUAGAGUUCGA
rnacentral:rRNA from 1 species